rnacentral:rRNA from 1 species
UGAACUGNCAAGCUAGAGUGUGUCAGAGGGGGGUAGAAUNCCACGUGUAGCAGUGAAAUGCGUAGAGAUGUGGAGGAAUACCGAUGGCGAAGGCAGCCCCCUGGGAUAACACUGACGUUCAUGCUCGAAAGCGUGGGUAGCAAACAGGAUUAGAUACCCUGGUAGUNCACGCCCUAAACGAUGUCAAUUAGCUGUUGGGCAACUUGAUUGCUUAGUAGCGUAGCUAACGCGAGAAAUUGACCGCCUGGGGAGUACGGUCGCAAGAUUAAAACUCAAAGGAAUUGACGGGGACCCGCACAAGCGGUGGAUGAUGUGGAUUAAUUCGAUGCAACGCGAAGAACCUUGCCUGGUCUUGACAUGUACGGAAUCUCUCAGAGACGGGAGAGUGCCUUCGGGAACCGUAACACAGGUGCUGCAUGGCUGUCGUCAGCUCGUGUCGUGAGAUGUUGGGAUAAGUCCCGCAACGAGCGCAACCCUUGUCAUUAGUUGCCAUCAUUUAGUUGGGCACUCUAAUGAGACUGCCGGUGACAAACCGGAGGAAGGUGGGGAUGACGUCAAGUCCUCAUGGCCCUUAUGACCAGGGCUUCACACGUCAUACAAUGGUCGGUACAGAGGGUCGCCAAGCCGCGAGGUGGAGCCAAUCUCACAAAACCGAUCGUAGUCCGGAUUGCACUCUGCAACUCGAGUGCGUGAAGUCGGAAUCGCUAGUAAUCGCAGGUCAGCAUACUGCGGUGAAUACGUUCCCGGGUCUUGUA